GCCAUUGUUCCUGUGUGGCGGGCUGUGCCUUAUGCAAUCAUUUGGUUGCACUUCUUUAUCAGACUGCCCAUUAUUCGCAGCUAAACAUUCCUGCUGUUCCCCCGGUGCACAGCUGCACAGACACCGAGCAGAUCUGGCAUAAACCAAGGACACUGGGUGUUAGGCCAGGCCCAGUUGGAGAAAUAGAGUUUCGAAAACCCAGAAAUUCAACAACAGACUGUGUAAAAAGUUCUCUCUACAAGGCGCUAGAUG